GACGAACGCUGGCGGCGUGCUUAACACAUGCAAGUCGAACGGUGAAGCCCUUCGGGGUGGAUCAGUGGCGAACGGGUGAGUAACACGUGAGCAACCUGCCCCUGACUCUGGGAUAACUACCGGAAACGGUGGCUAAUACCGGAUAUGACGACCUGUCGCAUGGUGGGGUGUGGAAAGUUUUUCGGUCAGGGAUGGGCUCGCGGCCUAUCAGCUUGUUGGUGGGGUGAUGGCCUACCAAGGCGACGACCGGUAGCCGGCCUGAGAGGGCGGACGGCCACACUGGGACUGAGACACGGCCCAGACUCCUACGGGAGGCAGCAGUGGGGAAUUGUUCGCAAUGGGCGCAAGCCUGACGACGCAACGCCGCGUGGAGGAUGAAGACCUUCGGGUCGUAAACUCCUUUCGAUCGAGACGAACGGCUUCCGGGUCAACACCCCGGGAGAGUGACGGUACCGAGAGAAGAAGCCCCGGCUAACUCCGUGCCA
rnacentral:rRNA from 1 species